rnacentral:lncRNA from 1 species
UUACCUGGGACCCCAAAGAGGCUAUGCUCCCACCUCCAGAAGGAUCCAUCUACCUGCCUUUAGUCAUUGUGAGUGGCACCUUUGUCACUUUCAUCCUAUUGGGAAUCCUCGCUGGUGUUGCUUGCUUCCGUUGCCUUCGGUCUCAGAGAAGAGAUGAACUUUGCACUGCACCUCAAAACCCUGAAGUUACUGUCCUGAGCUCUACUCCCACUCACAGGAGAAACAUCUUAGGAAGCCCACUGCU